UCGAGUGCGCGCCUGUAGCAAUACAGGUGGCGCACGGCGCACGGGUGCGUAACACGUGGGCAAUCUGCCCUCGGAUGGGGGAUAACUCGCCGAAAGGCGAGCUAAUACCGCAUGACAUUCCGAAGACUCCGGUCUUUGGACUCAAAGGCCGCAAGGCCGUCUGAGGAGGAGCCCGCGCCCGAUUAGCUAGUUGGUGAGGUAACGGCUCACCAAGGCUUUGAUCGGUAGCCGGUCUGAGAGGAUGGCCGGCCACACUGGAACUGAGACACGGUCCAGACUCCUACGGGAGGCAGCAGUGGGAAUAUUGCGCAAUGGGCGAAAGCCUGACGCAGCGACGCCGCGUGGGGGAUGAAGCUUCUCGGAGUGUAAACCCCUUUCGACCCGGACGAAUGACCCGCAAGGGUUUGACGGUACGGGUAUAAGAAGCCCCGGCUAACUACGUGCCAGCAGCCGCGGUAAUACGUAGGGGGCCAGCGUUGCUCGGAAUUACUGGGCGUAAAGGGUUCGUAGGUGGUGCGGCAAGUUGGAAGUGAAAUCUCUGGGCUUAACCCAGAGGCUGCUUUCAAAACUGCCGUGCUCGAGUGCGAGAGAGGCCAGUGGAAUUGCAGGUGUAGCGGUGAAAUGCGUAGAUAUCUGCAGGAACACCCGUGGCGAAGGCGGCUGGCUGGAUCGCAACUGACACUGAGGAACGAAAGCUA
rnacentral:rRNA from 1 species